rnacentral:rRNA from 1 species
AGAGCGAACGCUGGCGGCAUGCUUAACACAUGCAAGUCGCACGGUUCGGGGGCGACUCCGGGCAGUGGCGGACGGGUGAGUAACGCGUAGGCAUCUAUCCUCGGGUGGGGGACAACCGUGGGAAACUACGGCUAAUACCGCAUGAUGUCCGAGGACCAAAGCUUGAAAGAGCGCCUGGGGAGAGCCUGCGUACGAUUAGCUAGUUGGUGGGGUAACUGCCUACCAAGGCGACGAUCGUUAGCUGGUCUGAGAGACGAUCAGCCACAUGGGACUGAGACACGGCCCAAACUCCGUACGGGAGGCCAGCAGUGGGGAAUAGUUGGACAAGUGGGCGCGAAGCCUGAUCCAGCAAUGCCGCGUGUGUAGAAGAAGGUCUUAGGAUUAGGUAAAGCACGUUUCGGCGGGUAACGAGUGAGUGACCGGUUAACCCGCGAAGGAACGAACGCCCCCCGGUA